CCGUGCACGUGCUAUACAGCGAGAUUUACUGCGGCCGCAGUUGAAGGCGCGCCGUCAACCCAAAAACCCUUUUCUCUUGAGGCGACCUCACUAGGGUUUUGCUCUCUCACUUCGCCUCGCGUUUCGAUCUCCCCGCAUUUCGAUCGCUCCCAAAUUGAUGGCCAAAUUCUCCCUUGAUCUCGAUGACUCUCGAAGCAGAGGUGCUGGUGGCGGCGCCGAUGGGACCGUUGAUUCCGGUGAGAUAACACGGUGCUCCUCGAAGGCAGUGCGGAUGGACGCGGCGGCGGCGUCGAUGAGGUGGUAGGAGGCCGUGACCAUUUGGAGGGAUGGAAUCGGUGGCGAAGAGGAGGCUGCUGAUGCCUUCGUGAAACCGGAGAUUUGGGAAAAAUCAUCUUUUCAUUGGCCAGAAUAUUUGGUCAUGGGAAAGCUUGAAGGCGACAAGGUCAUUACUCCAAGUUUUACCGUGCCCAUUCAGUGAUGUUGAUCUGAUGCUCGGUUAUGUUCUGAAUACCAAUGUUUCGGAGUGGAUGGGAGAGGAAGGUAACCCUUCUACAGUUCUACCAUUAGUCUCUCGACAAACCAUUAAAUAAUUGUCUCAAACUAGAUAUUCCUGUAUCCCCUUUAUCUCUAGUCUCUCUACAGACAGGUAUUGGUUUCAUUUGUGAUGACAUUGGAGCGCAACAAAUGGUUAAAUAGCUAAAUUAUUGCAUUGAGUUGGUUA